rnacentral:rRNA from 1 species
CAAUAGCAUAUAUUAACGUUGUUGCAGUUGAAAAGCUCGUAGUUGAACUUUUGGUAGGAGCGACCUGGCCUUGGGCGCAUGCCCUUGUUUGCCGUGUGUCGUGUCUGGCCAUCCUUUUCCGCUUCGGCGGGAAUCUUUUACUGUGAGUAAACUGGAGUGCUCAAAACAAGACGUUUGUUUGGUACAUUAAAGCAUGGAAUAAUAAGAUAGGACCUGGUUACUAUUUUGUUGGUUUGCAUAGCUAGGUAAUGAUUAACAGGGACAGUUGGGGGUAUUCGUAUUUAAUUGUCAGAGGUGAAAUUCUUGGAUUUACGAAAGACGAACGACUGCGAAAGCAUUUACCAAGGAUGUUUUCAUUAA